CAGUAAAGAUUGGAAAGCAAAAUCAACUAUGGAAUGAUUGUGUUUUGAAAUUUGUAAGUAUCUCUUGAUAUGUGCAUGUAUUUACCACAGAAGUAGCCUCCAUUAUUGUUUCUUACAGGUUUCAGUUUCACAAUAGAUGAUCUUGGUUGAUAUCUUACUUCCUGUAUCACAGGUAAUCUCUGAAGUCUUAGAUCAAACAAACUCUGUUUUACUGUAGUUUUGCACCCCAUUGUGACCGAGUCCAAAGUUGGACUUGUCUACCCUUCCAAAAGAGAAAAUCUUCUCCAGAUCCUUGGUUCCACUAUUCAACAUGUGAAUCUUGUUUCUAGUUUCAGAUUUCUUUCAUCAAAAUCCAUUGUGUCAGUGUCUAAGCAGUGCACAUAGCUGUCUUCUUGGAUUUAAACUUUGAGGGUGAACAUCUGAGAAGUUUCUUUCCAAGCUUUAUUGUCUUUGUAUGUCUUUCCCCUGGUUUGUGCUUCAUUUGCUAUGGCACUCAGUUUUUCCACUGAGUUAAAUGAUUCAUUCUCAUCUAUCUGCAGAUUUUAAAACUUAGAUGCAAGCAUACAGAUUCUUGAUCUUUUCACAUUUGAUGAUCCUUCACAUGCUUUCUUUUAACUUAUUCCCAGCUCACCAUUUGUAAUUACUUAAUAGGAACCGAGCAAGUCUCUCUUUCAAUAAGAUGCAAUCAAAGUGUUGAAAAAAAACAAAGGCUAUCAGCAAAACAAGUGAGAAUAGUGAAACUCUGUUUUACUGUAGUUUUACACCCCCAUUGUAACCAAGUCCAACCCUUCUAACAGAGAGAAUCUCUUCCAGAUCCUUGGUUCCACUAUUCAGCAUGUGAAUCUCUUCCAGACAGUUCUUCCUUGAGUUUCUCAUUCGUUGUUUGAAGUAA